rnacentral:rRNA from 1 species
CCUACGGGAGGCAGCAGUGGGGAAUAUUGGGCAAUGGGCGCAAGCCUGACCCAGCAACGCCGCGUGAAGGAAGAAGGCUUUCGGGUUGUAAACUUCUUUUAUCAGGGACGAAGCAAGUGACGGUACCUGCUUAAUAAGCCACGGCUAACUACGUGCCAGCAGCCGCGGUAAUACGUAGGUGGCAAGCGUUAUCCGGAUUUACUGGGUGUAAAGGGCGUGUAGGCGGGAGUGCAAGUCAGAUGUGAAAACUAUGGGCUCAACCCAUAGCCUGCAUUUGAUACUGUAAUUCUUGAGUGCUGGAGAGGCAAUCGGAAUUCCGGGUGUAGCGGUGAAAUGCGUAGAUAUACGGAGGAACACCGGUGGCGAAGGCAGAUUGCUAGACAGUAACUGACGCUGAGGCGCGAAAGCGUGGGGAGCAAACAGGAUUAGAUACCCGUGUAGUC